rnacentral:rRNA from 1 species
AUACGUAGGGUCCAAGCAUUAUCCGGAUUGACUGGGUGUAAAGAGUUGCGUAGGUGGUGUCUUAAGUAGAUAGUGAAAUCUGGUGGCUCAACCAUUCAGACUAUUAUCUAAACUGAGGCGCUCGAGAGCGUUAGGGGUAGCUGGAAUUUCUAGUGUAGGAGUGAAAUCCGUAGAUAUUAGAAAGAACACCGAUAGCGUAGGCAGGCUACUGGGACGUUUCUGACACUAAGGCACGAAAGCGUAGGGAGCAAACGGGAUUAGAUACCCCGGUAGUCUACGCUGUAAACGAUGGAUACUAGCAGUUUCGGGUAUCGACCCCUGGAGUUGCGAGGCUAACGCGUUAAGUAUCCCACCUGUGUAGUACGAUCGCAAGAUUAAAACUCAAAGGAAUUGACGGGG